AAAACAAACGCACCCGUUUUCACACUCGGACACUUUCAGCUUGUUUUAAAAACUCUUCUUGAAUCUCCUCGUCAGGAUUAAACUGGGAUGUUCUGUUCUCGGCAAAUCUCACCAUCCUUUGGAUAUUUAGCGGACUGAAGAGUCGGAUCAGCAGAACAAUGUGGAGGAAACGGCUGCUGGGACAUUGGAGCGUCUCUGCUGGACUUAUAGUCUGUGUCUGCAGGAGGCAGCAUGUAUCCGAGCUGAAGGGAACACAUUCAUCCAUCAAUGCAGGAGGUAGUUUAAAGCAAAGAGGGACCAGCGACUGGACAUCAAACACAUCAUCACAGAUGUGUGUUCAGCUCUGCAGCAGGAUGUGCAGGCGAAGCUUGGAGCUGACGUCACUCUCCAGUGUCAGAUUUCCACAGAUGAAAGAAUCUCAGUGCUGAAGUGGAGCAGACCUGACCUGAACACAGACGGCUACGUCUACUUCUACAGGAACAAACGCUCCUAUGAAAACUACCAACAUCCAUCUUUUCAUGGAAGAGUGAAGCUGAGGGACCCGGAGAUGAAGGAUGGAGACGUUUCACUGAUCCUGAACAACGUCACGUUUAAUGACACUGGGAUGUAUGAGUGUCACAUAGCAUUGAGGAAGCCUGUGAGAAGUAAAAGAGCUCACACUGAGAUCAGUCACUUCAUCAACCUCACAGUCACAGGUGAAAUGGAUAAAACCAUGUCGGAGCAGCAGCUGAAGGAAAAAGGAGCUACAGACGGAAACAUGUAUGAUAGAAAAACAGAAACUCUGAGUGUUCAGGUUGUUGUUGUUGUUAUUGUUCUCGUCACUACUGUCAUUGGGUUUAUGGCAUUUUUGAGAUUUAAAAGAAGUAAGGAGCAGUUCAUAGCCAAGCCUAGUGAUGAGAGUG